GUGGGGAAUAUUGGACAAUGGGCGAAAGCCUGAUCCAGCCAUGCCGCGUGAGUGAUGAAGGCCCUAGGGUUGUAAAGCUCUUUCGACGGGGACGAUAAUGACGGUACCCGUAGAAGAAGCCCCGGCUAACUUCGUGCCAGCAGCCGCGGUAAUACGAAGGGGGCUAGCGUUGCUCGGAAUCACUGGGCGUAAAGGGUGCGUAGGCGGAUCUUUAAGUCAGGGGUGAAAGCCUGAGGCUCAACCUCAGAAUUGCCUUUGAUACUGAAGAUCUUGAGACCGGAAGAGGUAAGUGGAACUGCGAGUGUAGAGGUGAAAUUCGUAGAUAUUCGCAAGAACACCAGUGGCGAAGGCGGCUUACUGGUCCGGUUCUGACGCUGAGGCACGAAAGCGUGGGGAGCAAACAGGAUUAGAAACCCUAGUAGUCC
rnacentral:rRNA from 1 species